GGGUCAGUAGGUUGGUCGUGCCACCGGUACGUACUGGCCUCACUGAUUCCUCCUUCCUGAAGAACUGUAAUGCCAUUAAUUUGGUGUUGCGGGGAAACAGGACUGUUACUUUGAAAAAAUUAGAGUGUUUAAAGCAAGCUAACGCUUGAAUACAUUAGCAUGGAAUAAUGAAAUAGGACGAUCGAUCCUAUUUUGUUGGUUUCUAGGAUUGACGUG
rnacentral:rRNA from 1 species